UACGAAGGGGGCUAGCGUUGUUCGGAAUUACUGGGCGUAAAGCGCGCGCAGGCGGCUAUCCAAGUCAGUGGUGAAAGCCCGGAGCUCAACUCCGGAACUGCCAUUGAAACUGUUUAGCUAGAGGACGAGAGAGGUGAGUGGAACUGCGAGUGUAGAGGUGAAAUUCGUAGAUAUUCGCAAGAACACCGGUGGCGAAGGCGGCUACUCUGGGCCUUACCUGGACGCUGAGGAGCGAAAGCGUG
rnacentral:rRNA from 1 species